ACAUGCCUAAAACAUAGUUUUAAUUCAUCAGAUCCCAUUAGAAAUCUGCAGUUAAGUGCACUCGGGCUAGAGUAGUACUGGGAUGGAUGAUCGCCCGGGAAGUCCUAGUAUUCUACAUGCC
rfam:Picea glauca, whole genome shotgun sequence.